AUGGGGGGGGGGCAGCGGGACCCACGGCAAGGGAUGGAGGACCAACAACAGGCGGAAGUCCUCCAACAACAGGAAGUCCUGCCAGCAACACCCGGAGGUCCUCCAAGAACACCCGGAGGUCCUCCAAGCUGGAGGUUCCUCCAUAGGACACCGGAGGUCCUCCAACCACAGUGCGGGAAGUCUCUCCAAGACACAAGCCAAGGUCCUCCAAGAACAGUCGGAAGUCCUCCAAGAACAGGAAGUCCUCCAAGAACAGCCCAAGGUCCUCCAAGAACAGGAAGUCCUCAAGAACAGGAAGUCCUCCAACGUACAGCCAAGGUCGUCCAAGAACAGGAAGUCCUACCACAAGGCCAGCCAGCAACCAAAGGUCCUCCAAGCAACAGGCGGAAGUCCUCCAACAACCCCAGAAGUCUCCAAGGGCUGAGGUUCUCAAGAACAGGCGGAGUCCCUCCAACAGAGGAAAGUCCUCAACAACAGCCAGAGGUCCUCCAACAACAGUCAGAAGUCCUCCAAGGGCUGGAGGUCCUCCAAGAAAAGGAAGUCCUCCAAGAACAGGCGGAAGUCCUCCAACAACACCCAGAAGUCCUCCAAGGGCUGGAGGUCCUCCAAGGGACACCCAGAAGUCCUCAACAACAGUCGGAAGUCCUCCAGGGCUGGAGGUCCUCCAAAAGAAAAGGAAGUCCUCCAAGGACACCCGGAGGUCCUCCAACAACAGUCAGAAGUCCUCCGACGUGGCUGGAGGGUCCUAAAAGAGCUGGAGGUCCUCCAACCCCCGGAAGUCCUCCAAGAACACCUUGAGGUCCAUCCAAGAACACCAGGUCCUCCAAACAACAGGUGGAAGUCGCCGGGGUCUGGGUUGGGGUUAUAGGGUCAGAGUUAUGGGGUCAAGGUUUGGGUUAUAGGGUCAGAGUUAUGGGGUUAUAGGGUCAGAGUUAUGGGGUCAAGGUUUGGGUUAUAGGGUCUGGGGUCAGGGUUGAGGUUAGAGGGUCUGAUUUGGGAUCAUGGUCAGGGUUAUAGGGUCUGGUUUGGGGUCAGGGUUGGGGUUAUAGGUUUGGGGUUACAGGGUCUGAUUUGGGGUCAUGGUCAGGGUUAUAGGGUGGGUUAUAGGGUGGGUUAUAGGGUCAUGGGUUUACAGGGUCUGAGUUGGGGUUGUAGGGUCAUGGUUAUAGGGUCAGAGUUGGGGUCAGGGUUAUAGGGUCAAAAUUGAGGUCCCAGCCAGAGUUAUAGGGUCAGAGUCAGGGUUGUGGGGUCAUGGUUAUAGGGUCAGGGUCGUGGUUAUAGGGUCAGGGUUGUGGGGUCAUGGUUAUAGGGUCAGAGUUGGGGUUGUAGGGUCUGGUUAUAGGGUCGGGUCUGGUUAUAGGGUCGGGUCUGGUUAUAGGGUCGGGUUAUAGGGUCUGGUUAUAGGGUCGGGUUAUAGGGUCUGGUUAUAGGGUCGGGUCUGGUUAUAGGGUCGGGUUAUAGGGUCGGGUUAUAGGGUCGGGUCUGGUUAUAGGGUCGGGUUAUAGGGUCGGUUAUAGGGCCAGGCUCACAGUGACGGGUCAGGGCUGCUCUAUGAGGCCACUCCAUCCCCUCCAUGCACUGAUUCCCCCCUCCCCCUUUCACCCUCUUAUUCCAUGGGGUGGGACAAAUUUCAGUCCCAAAUAGGGGACUGAAACCCCCCCCCCCCAUCCCCACCCAAAGGUGGCUCCGAACCCGAACGGAACCGGCACCCAAAUGGGCCCUCCACACCCCCAAACCCCCCCACCCCAAACAUGUGGGGCCGGCAGCCAUGUAGCAUCCCCACACCGUGCACUUUGCAGCACAGCCCGGCCCAUGG
ensembl:lncRNA